rnacentral:rRNA from 1 species
GAUGAACGCUAGCGGCAGGCUUAAUACAUGCAAGUCGAGGGACAGCACUCGUAGCAAUACUGGGUGGUAACCGGCAAACGGGUGCGGAACACGUACACAACCUUCCUUUAAGUGGGGGAUAGCCCAGAGAAAUUUGGAUUAAUACCCCGUAAUAUAGUUGAAUGGCAUCAUUUGAUUAUUAUAGCUACGGCGCUUAAUGAUGGGUGUGCGGCUGAUUAGAUAGUUGGCGGGAUAACGGCCCACCAAGUCUACGAUCAGUAGCUGAUGUGAGAGCAUGAUCAGCCACACGGGCACUGAGACACGGGCCCGACUCCUACUGGAGGCAGCAGUAAGGAAUAUUGGUCAAUGGACGCAAGUCUGAACCAGCCAUGCCGCGUGAAGGAUUAAGGUCCUCUGGAUUGUAAACUUCUUUUAUUUGGGACGAAAAAGGGCCUUUCUAGGUCAACUGACGGUACCAGAUGAAUAAGCACCGGCUAACUCCGUGCCAGCCGCCGCGGUAACAC